rnacentral:lncRNA from 1 species
CAAGUUUUUGCUCUACCUGUUUCGCCUCUGCCUUGGCCUCUUUAAAUUUGAUUAGACUAUCCUCUAAAUUACGAGUAAGUGCCAGCUUGACAGAUUCCUUCUCACUAAGGAGAUUCUUGUCCUGCACUGCUUUCACUACUCGCUCAGGUAGUUGUUUAAAGUUCUCCUCCAUGGCCAACAACUCAUCUUUUAGCUCAAUCGUAAAGGUAGAGGAACAAUCAACACUAGAUAGGACCUUGAAAGCCUUCUUAAGUGAAGAAAUCAUCCCUGAAUCAUAAAAGUUAGCUGGGGCCAUAUUCAGGGCUUCAUCUAUGUUGACCAGAGCUUCCUUUGCUUCUUCUUGAGAAGAAACAAUGUUACUUCUUGCGAGCUCAGACUCUAAGCUAGUAAAGAAUGUGUCCAUAUCUUCCUCAGUAGGGUCUUCAGGUUCAAUGGUCUGAAAUAAAGGGAAAGAAAGUAAUAAUAGAGAUACAAAAGAUGUAUAAAAUAUUUACAAUUAACUUGGCUGACUUACCUCACUCUGGGAAGAAGACUGAUCCGCAGUUGGCAAUUUUUGAUUGGUAGAUUCUGCCUCAUCCUGUCCUGGAGAAGACAGAACCGCAGGAGCUGAAAGGAUAGCUGAUGACUGAGUGGUGAUUUCCUCUGGUUUGACUAUUGUAGGUUUUUGGUUGUCUAUGGCUGCUUCACCGUGAUCAGCUUCCUUGCUCUUGAGUUUAUCAGAAGCAGUUUCAAGUUCAACUAUCAAUGCAUCUGACAGCAAAUCAAUAGUCCUAUCGGUGGCAAUGUAAGCUUCAACUAAGCAUGCAUCAUUCACGAGAUAGCCUCUCUUAGGGUCGAGUAAUUCAUCGAGAGGCAUGAAUGAAGUGAAGCCCCAAUCAUUCUCCUUUGCAUUAAACUCAUGAUUAGUGACUGCCAAAAGCAAAGAGUAUCAAUUAUCAACAACCAUUUGUGUAAACAAUCUGAUGACAAACUCAAAGAAGAAAAAGGCAUGGAAUAGCAUAUUCGGCAUCUGGUCUUUGCAUGUUUCGACCAUGCCCAAAGCCUCAAACAAAGCCCAUCUUUCAAGCAUUUACCACCUGAGCCAGGGCCCAGGAUCAUAGACAAAAAAUAAAUAUUGAGCCCCAAACAGAUAAAUUCAAAGUAGUGAAAAUAAGAGGAACCAUUCCAUUAGCCAAGGAAUAGAAAUUAGAACAGAAAACAAAGAUAGUGAUAGGAAGUUGUGUUCUUUAAAGAAGAUUCCCCGACUUCUUUCCUAAAGCUUUGACGGAAGGAAAAGAAGAUGCAGAGAGGGGAAACGGCAAUAAGUGAAGUUGUUUGGACUUGGGGGAGAGUGCUAGAAGGAAAUACCUUUUGUAAUCGAAGUUUUAGGAUCAGUUUGGUUGAUGACAGAUAAUCUGAAUUGGGCAUAUCUACUCCAGCCAGGAGGCAAAGUUGCUGAAUCUGCAGCAUCUACAUAAAUUGAAAUAUGAUCCACCUUGUUCCCCUUUGGGAAGACAAGAAGUUGCCUGCCAAACAAAAUUGCAAGUCUCAGUGAUAGAGAAAUGCAACUUGAAAUAUUACCGAAUCCUUAGAAUUACCAUUUGUUGCCACCAACAUGGAAGAUGUCAGAGUAGAGCUUGUUGCAUUUAAUACAGGAGAAAUUCUCAAUCCUCCAUGUGAACUUUCUCACUUGUUGACUUCCCAUAGACUGAGACUCACUUCUAUCCACUGCACUCAAAAACAAAAAGAAGGAAACAUGGAGGAGAAGAAUUAAAGAGUAAAAGGUGAAGCUAUUUAUGAAUACCUUCCAUUAUGAGAUGAUCUGCUGAUAAAAACUACUAUGCUGGAGAAGGUAGAGUGGAAGCUCUAGAGUUGAAAUACUUUAUUUAUACAACUUCGCCUUUAAGCUAUCUUUGUUAUCACUUGAACCACAUCCCUAUAUGUUUUUGAAUAAAGUAAAUAUAAUUUGACUUGGUCUUCCUUUUCAAUUUAAUAAUUACUUCCACUACUUGGCCUUGAAGUUGUCUUUCUUUCCUGGCAAUUCAUGGUACUGCACCUUCACAACCACUUCUUGUCUAUAUCAUAAAAAUAGAAAUCCAAAAUAUUAAGAAAAAAUAAAUUUUAUUUAAUUGAUACUUAUUUUUUAUAUCAUAUAAUAUUAAUAUAUUACAAUAAUAAAUAAUAACGUGAUACGUUGAUAAUUGCAUAUGAUUAAAUGAUUAUAUAAUAUUUUUAUUUUUUUAUAAGUGUCACGUUAAUACCAUGUGACAUAAAAAAUGAUAUAUGACGUUUAAUCAAAAUUGUUAAUUAUAAAUAACUAUUUGAUUUAAAAUAAAAAUAUAAAAAUUUAAUUAAAUAUAAUAAAAAGUAAAAACUUAUAAUUUUAGAAUUUUUUUAAAACAUUAUUCUUUUUACUUUUAUACAAAUAUAUAAUAAAUGAUGUCUUUGCACAAAAAGCAUAGUAUUAUUCCUUUUACUUUUAUAAUUUUAGACUGCCCUUUCCUUGAGCUCUACCUCUUUCUUUAUUAUAUAAUAUUGAAAGUAAUGAUAAUUCUAAAAUUAAAUAAAAACUAAAGUUAAGAAAAUAAAAUAUAUUAAAAUAAUUAUUCAUAAAACAUUGUAAUAUAUUUUAAUAAAAUAUAUUAAAAUAAUGCAAAGAGUUUAUGUAGAAUUGACAUAAAUCGCUUGGGAAGAGCUUCUUCCUCGUGCAAAAGUUUAACAAGAAAAAUAAUAAACAACAAUAGGAGUGAGAGUUAAAAAGCAAAUUCAGCUUACGAAAGACGAUCAAUGAUAAAUGCUAUGUUGCAAUGGCUAGCUCCUCAACGGGAAAGGGUUAAACUUACUAAGCUCUAGCUAGGAAACCCAAGACUUCAGUUUUCUAAGCGAUGAACUUAAUAGAUAUUGUUGGGAUUCGACCUCAUACUCAAACAUGAAAAUAAUCAAGAAAUUAAAAAAUAUAACACAGCAGAAUAAUAAGCUAGCAUUUAAUCAGAGAAACAGUUGAAUCCUACAGAAUCAAUAUUUGUGUUUUUCUUGUAACUUUUAAAUUAAUUAUGAACAGUCAUAAGUAUAAUAGUUACAUACUAUCACAACCCAAUUCUCGGGCCAUAACCGACGCAAAGGCCCAAUAGGCACAGCCCACUAGACCCUAGCAAGCCUUUCUAUAUGAACUUAUACAUUAGUCCAUCUAUCAUCCAUAUUUCUUUAAGAUCUAUACUUCAUAAUGUUCAAAUGAUAAAUUUCUUCGAAAACAAUUCAUAAAACACAAGUAUAUACUCAUAAUGGCAUCAUCAAUCAAAAUAUACAUAAUAGUUUGCCAAAUGAAUCUUAACAAUUCACAUUAAACAUACAUGUAGAUAUACAAAGACCAUGAUUGUCAGUGGAGUGACUCUGGGCGUGGGUGCUAACAUUUAGUGUCAUGGCAAACCUAUUGAAAAAUGGAUAAAAAUGAGCACCUCGACCUAGGACCCAAUCACCUCCAAUUCAGAAAACCUAAAACACGAAGUUAAAAGGAAUGAACAUAAACCCAGUGAAUGAACAUAGGAAGGGAACAAGCAUACGAUACGGAAAGUUUUUAAAAAAAAAACACAAUCCACUUUUGUUAAAAACAACAAUGCAAUAUAAUGUAAUUUCUUGUUAAAACCCCUCAAUUCAGCCCUUGAAUAGUUAAUCCUUUAGUGUUGAAGAAUUCAUGAUCAACAAUGAAAUUAAAAAGUGAAAACUACAACACUCCAAACAAGGUAAAAAGUUUCUCACCAUCGCGAAAAUCAAUUUGGUUGCAACGACAACAGUGACUUCCAAGACAGAAAGUUUCUCACUGCGGCAAAAAUCAAUAUGGUUGCGGCGAGAACAGUGCAAAUGGAGUUAAGAGGAUUUUCGCUACGGCGAAAAUCCAUUCUUACUGCAGUGAAAAAUGAGGUUGUUUGCAAUGUACUUAUUUAGGUUCAGUUUAUGUUUGCUCACCCCUAGUACAAUUUAUAUAUAUCAUAAACAAACCCGGCGCUAUGUUGUCUUUUAACUCAUUAUAGAAACAUUUGACAAUUUCAAUUUUCAACAUUCAAGGCAAUCACAUAUCCUUUCCCUAACCUCUUUAUAGUAUGUCUUAACACGUAUACAACCACCGGCUCAACCCAGCUCAUGUACACUCCCACACCGCACAUAACUAAUGUCAUCAUGUGCACUCCCACACCGCACAAGGCAAUAUCAUCAUGCGCACUCCCACAUCGCACCUCACCAUCAUCAUCAUGUGCAUUCUCACACCGCACACGCACAGUUGUAGUUAUCAUGCAAUGUUGCCUUUCAAGGCAUAACAUAUAUGUCAACAUGUAAACAAAAAUCUUUACACAUUAAUACUUUUCACAUAAUUUAUUGUUUUAGCCAUACGCUUAGUUACACAAUCCUAUUUUCUAAGGAACUAAUAUUGACCUUCAUACAGCUAUUUGUCACAUCCCAAAAUCAUCAUUAUGUCAUACACCACAAUUCACUUAGUAAUUCAACACAAUGUAGGAAAUACAUGAAUUUAUCACAUCACACAUUUCACAACGUAAAGACGUUUCACCGAAGGCUUGUUCCCAUGCGUAUUUUAUAGAAAAGACAAAUAAAAUUUUUCAAGUGAUUCAUUCAAACGCAUAAGCAUUUAUCCCAAAACAUUAUAAAUGCAAGUUCACUCACCUUAAUAAUGUCACCUUACAAAUCUAGUACCCACAAGAUCCUAAUCCAAGUAAGUCCUGAAAUACCAUCAGAACCUAUGUUUACAAUUAAACCAUGACAGCCUCAAAUAAAUCAUAAAUUUGAACUUAAAAACUCUAAUAAAUAUACACUAGCUAAAUUAUAUUUGAACUAACAUUUAACUUAGAAUUCUAGUCUAAUUCACAAACCCAUUAAAUUGACUAUUCAAAUUUAAGGUUUCUUUACCUUGACGAGCUUGGAGGCAUAAAGGUCAACAAAACCUAAUAUUUUCAAGAAAAAGAAUUUGAAGAUUAGGAAAUAAAAUCUGAAAAUAUAACCCAUAAAUUCUAAAAUUUUAGAGUUGAUAAUAUAUACCUUUUGGCUUUAAAAAAAUGAAUAUCUGAAGCUAAAAAUUCAAGUGUUGAUGACGAUAGAGUAGAAAUAGAAAAUAAAAGAAAGAAAAAGAGAAUUUUUUUCUUCCUCUCUCCUAGGGUUUAGUUUUGCUGAAAAAUGGGGUUGAAAGUUGUGGGUUUGGUACCCAAGAAGGUAAAUGAAGGAAGAAGUAAGAAGAGAAAGGGAAGAAAAAGAAAAUGAAAAAAAAAUUGAUUUUCAUGGUGGAGAGAUGAAAAUGGCGUUGGGAGGGUGAAAAAGAAGAAGAAAAUGCCUUUUUGUGAAGAUAAGAAUCGGUCAUGGAAGAAGAAGAAAAGAGUCAAAGCUUCCCUUUGAAGCUUUGACCAAGCUAAGGGUAAAAUUACCAUUUAACCUUCCAAGAUUUUUCACCCUUUUUAAUGAAGUCCUCCCACAAUCUUUUAAUUCGAAUUUCUUUCUAUUUUUCUUCCUUAACACUUGUACCAAUAAAAUAUCAAGUUUAUACUUCAACGCGAUAUCACCAUAAUAUUUAAAUAUAUACUUAUCAGUGCUAGCUUUAUUUAAUAAAGACACACGAAUCCCACUAAUGUCAUUUUUCUCCGAAAUUUCCUCGUUCUUCUUCUCCCCCCGCUUAGAUUGACUAUAUACUUGUCCUUCAUGACUAAUUUUGACAUCGAAUAAGAUAUUAAUAUUUUAAUAUAAUUUUAUUAAUAAAAUAUUAUUUUAUUUCAAAAUUUUUCACUUGUCUCCUUAGUACCCAAAGUGUCUUAUUAUGCCCCGAUUCACUUUCGAAUCACUUGUUAUCUCACUAAUUCAUCCUCAAUAACGGUAUUAUUAUUAAUUAUUAUUUUCUCACUGCGAAAUGUUUUCCUCUAAAUAUUGUUUUCACCCAUCACCGUUCUUUGACACUUAAAUUCAUGUUAAUUAGCCCUUCAUCUUAUCGAUAUGGUUAUGUUGACUACUAUACGGGGGUACGAUGUAUUACACAUACCUUACUCUAGAUAUCAUAAUCAAGAGCCGAUUAAAUCCAAAAGGCUUGUGAUGGAACAAAAAACCCAAAAAGAGAAUAAGACGACCUAAAAUCCUGCAACCGAAAUCUUUGCUUCUUCACCUUUAGGAUUUCUCAAAUCUUCAGUCACCUAAGUGUUUAGCCUCUAACAAUAAUCCACAUAGUGACUGAAUAAGACCUUCUCAAAGGUAAAAUUUUACUUGUGCUAGUAAGUUUCGUUUUCAAAACAAAAAGAUCAAAAGUUCUUACCAAAUCUUAUUUUUGUAGAUAAAAAAAAACUAUUUUUCUUUUCUUAUUUCAUGAAAUGGCUGAGAAGUAGUUGAAGGCUUAGAGUUUUGGUAUAACGACCCAACCUCGGUCACUAUCGACGUUCGAGACCUUCGGGAGAUCCCGCCAAGUCCCGAACAAGCCUCUAUGAAAUUCUCAAGACAUUUAUUAAAUAUGCUCUCACGUGCAUAAGCGAUUAAUAAUAAUAGUCAUACUACUGAUAUUUCUUUUUAAAUAAUAACAAUUAAAUGUCAACCACCAAGUUUUUAACAAUACAUAUCCAUGAAUUACAAUAAUUCACAACAUCUAAAAAUCUUAUGUAACUUGACCCUAGACAGCGGAGAGACUCGGAGCUGGCUAAGAGAUGCCUUUACCUAUUCUCAGUAGACUGAACACACCGACGAGUACGCGCUAGGCUAAUCCCUACCUGAAAAAGGGGAAAUAAAAAGGGUGUGAGUCUCAUAGACUCAGUGAUCAUCAUCGACCCCGUGAGUAGACGAGGAGGGGAAACAAACAUAAAGAUUGGAUAUUUAUAAAACCAAUAGUAGGCAUAGAAAACAAACUCCAUUAAAUUGAGAGAUUUUGUUUUUAUGUCUUGCAAGUCUUAAAAAUAAUAAAUCACAAGUAAACAUAUAUGAAAACGAUUAUAUUUAGAAUACUAAAAAUCUUUCAACUUUGAUAUUUUGUUAACAAUAAAUUCAAUUACAAGUGUAGAAUGAAGAGUCAAACAUAAAAAUGCGAAAUCACUGAUCACUAAUGAAUACGUAAAUUCCACUUGUCAUUCAAUAAUAAAUUUCAAGUGUAAAUGCCAUGCAUUGUGUAAUAAAAAUCUACAAGUGAGCAUCAUCCUUGGGUCGGUUUAGUAUAGCCCUUAGGCUUACUUUCUCAAACAUCAUCACCUACUCGUGGGAACCUCCCACGCCACCAUAUAUAAAUCGGGGCUUCAGGUCCCCCUUUACCUACUCGUGGGAACUAUCCACGCCACCUUAUAUAAAUCGGGGCUUCAGGUCCCCCUUUUACCUACUCGUGGGAACUACCCACGCCACCCUAUAUAAAUCGGGGCUUUAGGUCCCCCUUUUAUAAUCAAAAUCAAUAAUCAACAAUUAUUACUUUGUGCACAAAGACCACACUUGACUUGGUGUGGUAACAGGUCCUACCCAUAGUAUUUCAAUCACGUUAAAAUGAAAAUCAUUACAAUUUAAUGCAUAAUUUAUUUCAAAGCAUAGCAUAUCCAUCAAAUCAACAUGUUAAGUGAAAUCAAUAAAUUUAUUUAUUUUUUUAUCAAAUCCCAUUAAUAAAAUAAUAACCAUUGGCCCAAACAUCACACAAGCUUGCAAAGUAUGAUUUUGAAGCGAAAGCCAUUGAAAGGUUUGUUUCCCCGUAAUUAAAACCUUGUAGAUAUAUACUUAUGUAUAAUACAAAAAAAAAUGAAUUUAAAAUCCUUGAUUUCAAUCGCAAACAACCUAGAGUUUUUUACCAACUCAUGCUUUCCACAAUUUCAUCAACCAUCAAAUGUAAUAUAUAUAAUAUAUUUACAAGGAUAUAGUUUUUGAAAUUUAGUACCCACUCACCUCAUAAUAGCAGGACGCUACAUCGCUAUUUCUUAUUGUCGAUCGCUCGUCGUUUCUUCUAACCUGCCACUGCAGUGCACCACCUUUACUUACUUUUCCUGAAUAGUGAAACUCAUUAUUAUUAUUAUUAUUAUUAUUAUUAUUAUUAUUAUUAUUUUCUUUCUUUUUUUUUAUUACUUUUUUUUCUUCAUCUCCUUUCUCCCCUUACCGUCGGCCUUCCUUCUAGCCGACGUUCCUCUUUUACUUUUUUUUUUUCUUUCUUCCUUCCCUCUCUCUUUUUUUCUUUUUUUUCUCCCUUUUCCUUCUCCUCCGACACCGCUACUCUCCCUUUCUUUUCCUUCUUCUUUUUUUUUCCUUCACCCUUUUCCUUCUCUUUUGGGACCACUGCUCUCCCUCUGUCUUCCUUCUUCUUUCUUCUUCUCUCUCUUUCUUUUUCUCUAGCAUGCCCCUACUCUCCCUCUCUUUUCCUUUUUCUUUUUUCUUCUCUCUCUUUCUUCUUCUCCAACACGUUGCUCUCCCUUUCUCUCUUUCUUUUUCUCCAACACGUCGCUCUCCCUUUCUCUCUUUCUUUUUCUCUUGGCCGGCCCCACCUUUUUCUUUUUUUUUUUCCUUCAAUGGUCGAGCCCCCUUUACGAGGUGUUACAUUUAGUUUGCUAACAAAACAUAUUUAUAUAAUCAAACUAAAUUGUAACCUUAAAUACAAUAAUUAUAUUUUAAUUUAAUUAAGUCUCUGUGAACUUAAUUAAUUUUUAUACUUUAAUUUGGUCUAUUCUAAUUAAGUCAAACUCAAUUGAUUAUCUUUAUUUAAUCUCAAUCAUGUCACUUAAUGUGUGUGACCCAUUAGGCUUCUAACAUGUUGACAAUAAAUAUAAAUCAUAAUCAAAUAUCAAUUUGAUAAUUAAUUUAUAUUUAUAGAUCAUGAGCGGCAUCUAACAAUACAUCACGAAUACUCAAAUGUUAGAGAGUCAAUUAAAGAAUUUGACAAAGCCCUUUAGUGAUAAGCUUCUCACUACAACACAGUCCUUUCAUCAAAUAUCUUGGAUAUGUUAUUAAGCAUGGCUUGGUGUCUACUUAUGACAUUCCAUAUUAGUUCUCAUAAUUCAUGACUAAUCUUAUGAAUUUAGCAAACUAAGUUUCCUCAAAUUCAUCAUGAUUUGGCCAAAUACAUUAAACAAAUUAAUCAAGAAUUAAAAACAAGUAAGAUACAUCCUCUCAUAGCAUUUGGGGUGAUGAGUCUUCUCUUGACUAGUUAUUCACCUUUGCAUGUAUCAUGGCAUGCUUAAGAACACCAUGUUUAGGCAUUUGGUCGCCUUCAACGCCGUAGGGGUGAAACCAAAGUAUGUCAUUCCUCAUACAAGAUGACAUGGUGUCUCAAGUUUGAGGAUGACUAACCUUAUGAAUUUAGCAAACUAAUUUUCUUCAAAUUCAUCAUACUUUGGCCAAAGACUUUAUACAAGUUAAUCAAGAAUUAAUAACAAGUAAGAUACAUCCCCUCAUAUCACUCGGGGUGAUGAAUCCUCUCUUGACCACUUUUCAUAUUCGCAUACUUCAUGGCAUACCCCAAAACACCCUGUUUAGGCAUCUGAUCAUCUCUUAAUCCGUAGGGGUAAAAUCAAAUUAUGUCAUUUCCCAUACAAGAUGACCUAGUGUCUCAAGUCUGAGGAGUAGUUGCACGACUAUCACAUGAUAACAUAUUCCAUAGACAUUUAGGUGAAACACCAAAUGAAGUUCUAAUAACAGGUCAUGUUCAGUAAACUUGUUCUUUAACAAGCAUCCACAUGUUAUCCUCAACUAUCCUAUAUACUUCAACUUAUGAGAUUGAUUGCUUACUUUCCAAGUAAUGAGGCUUAACAUGUACUAAUCUUUGAGCAUUGUCAAUGCCUUGUCUUGACAAUACAAUGACCAUGAACAAUUUUAAGAACAUAGCUUUGAUGCAUAGUGAUAUCAUAAGUGAAACAACUUUACAAUUCUUUUACAAGGCUUUUAUGUUCCAUGGGUUUCAUCCAAUCAGUGCUUAGUAACUCUUUAUUAUUGCACUAACAUUAAGAAAAACUUCUAUCACAUAUAGUUAUGUAAUUAAAUAUGUAUUAAAUGAUAAUAUAUAUUCCUUGACCAAUCUAAUUGGCUCAAGGGCGUAUACCAACAAUUUUCCACUUGCACUUGAGUCAAUUGCUAAUGUAUCCAAUAUCGAACUUUUUCGCUUGGCAACUGUGUCUGUACUAGGAUACCUCAAAUUGCAAUAUUUGGAAAUAUGUUAAUUUACAUGUUUGACAAUCUCUGUUGUCAUAAUUGAAAUACUAAUUUAGAUUACAACGAGACCUUGAUUCCAUUAUUAUAGCUCUUGUUGUUACCUUAACAACUCGAAAUCAUUUAUUGGUUCAUUAAACCAAUGAUCCAAGUAUCUUUUCUUUUGUAUCCUAAAUAAAAGAUUUGUAUCCGAUUAUAAAUAUAAUCAUGUAGUUAUCUCUUGUUUUGGAACCGGUCCAAUACAAUUGCUCAAUCAUGACUUUCAGUCACUUCUAACAUUUAGGAUUCUUUCUAUGUUAAACUCUUUUAAUAUGUAAUCCUAAAUUCUUUUCUGGAGUCCCUUUCUAGGCUCUAACUCUUUAGUCCAAUUAUAAUUUUUUUUUUAGACUGGUAAAUGCAUCUUGUACACUUUUAAUGCAUAACUUAUCUUACUCCCACUAACCUUAUAAUGUGCACAAAAUAUGUUUAUCUUAUUCAAUAUAUUCAACUAUUUUGAAUUUAUUACAUUGAAUAGAGAUUAUUAUCUAAUCAUUCAUGUUGGAUUAUUUAGUAGACUCAUCUUAUAUGAGUAGUACAUCAAUAUGCGUCCUACUAAUAGUUUAUAUUUAAUGGAUUCAUCUCAUGAAUUAUGCAUCCUUAUGCAUCCCAUUAAAUCAAUCUUUGUGUAUAGAUCUUAUCUAUUGGAUUUCAUAAUUUCAUAACCCUUGAUCUUUAAAAAGUCAUUAGCUCCACUAUUUCUAUCAUGUAUAGAAAUCCUACCAAGUAAACUUAUUUACUUUCUUUUGGGGCAUUAUAUCCAUAACUUUUUAUGUAUAAAUACAUAUUAUAAGUUGUUCAUCAUUGGUUAUGGGAUGAAAUCCUAUCAAAGGUUAAUUCAUGCAAUUAACUAGGUUUGGAAUGCUUUAUGAUUCGUCUCUUAUGAAUUCAAUAUGAUAAUCAAUUGUUAUUUAGUUCUAAGCAAUCUUAAUUUAGAUCCAAGAUUUCAUUAAAAAUGCUCAUUGACUAAAUAUGUUCAUAAUCCUAUUAUGAAUUCAUUGAGUUAUGACUCAAUUUUAUCUAAGUCAACUCAUUAAUUUCCUUUUCUGAUUCAUAAUCAAAAGAAAAAUAAUCUAACAAUGAUCUUAUCAUUAUGACUUAAUAUUGAUUAUCAUAUACGCAAGGUUAUACUUAAAGAUAAAUAAUUUAGAGCAAUUCCAAGAUAAAAUGAGAUGUACUAUAAAUAUAUAAAUACAUAUAAGCUAAGCAUCUCAUGCUAGAAAAAUAUAAAUCUAUGUUUCAUAAAAAUAAAAUAAAAUAUUCAGUCAUAGGCCCAAAACCAAAACAUCUCAUCUUGACAAUCAUGUCAUGAAAACAUUCAAUGUUCUAAAAUUAUUUAUUGUUCCACAAUUUAAUCUAGGUCGACAAGCUUGAUCACUAUCAACUAGGGUUGUUCCCUUCAUGAUCCUAUUUUUCACUGCUCUUUGUCAUUAGUUCCUUCAAUAUGUCAUACAUAUUAUGUCAUACAUAUUAAAAUCAUUAAUAAAGAGUACAAUAUCAUAUAUCAAGUAGUGAAAAAUAAUCAUCACGUGAUUCAUACCUAAAGUGGAAACUUUUUUUUGUUUCUUCCCUUUGAUGGAUUCAAGAUAAUCCUUGCAAUUGCACCUCUAAUGCCCAAGUUUGCCAUAAAAAUGGCAUUUGUCAUUGUCCUUGUCCUUCUGCACUCUUUCCAUAGGCUUCAUAUCUUUCAAAGUUGAUGCCUUUUCACCCUUAUCUUUCUUAGAAAAUUUUCUUUCCUUAUUUUUAUUUUUCUUAGAAGAAACAAGAUGAAUUAGAGGCUUCUCCUUCGCAAUGGUGUUCUCAGUCUGUGUGAGCGUAUUUAAUAAGCCCACAAGGGUUACCUCAAUCUUGUUCAUGUUGAAGCUCAACAUAAACUAUGAAUAGCUCUCUAGUAACGAAAAAAGUACAAGGUCUAUGCUCAAAUUAUGAUCCAUAACCCAACCCAACUGCUCAAGUCGAGUGAUAUAUCCUAUCAUCUUAAGCACAUGAGGCCUUACUAGGCUUCCCUCAGAUAUCUUACAUUGGAACAAUUCCCUUGAAAUAUCGAAUCUUUCUGUGCAACUUUCCUUAUCGAACAUUUCUCUAAGGUUUAGGAUAAUAUCCAGAGCAUUUAUAGCUUCAUGUUGCUUUUGAAGAUCUAGAGUCAUACUAGCCAACAUCACACAUGUGGCAUGAUCGAGAUCAUCCAUAUAAACUCUAUAGGCCUCAUUGUCCUCAUUUGUAGCACCGUCGCUAGAUUCAUUGGGAACAAGACUAUCUAAGAAAUAAACAUUUUUUCUCUUGUUUCAAGACAAUCUUGAUAUUGUGAAACCAGUCAAUGAAAUUUAGUCUUGUUAACUUGUUUGCAUGAAGUAUGCUUCUAAAUGACAAACUAUUCACCAUGAUAGAUUUAUAUUCAAUAUAAACUAACAUAUAUAAUUAUUAGUCACUAACAAAAAUUAUAUAAUCAUAAAGACAAAGUUUCAGAAUCUUAUAUGAUUAUUCUCAAUAUUUUAUCAAAAUAAUAGCCCUCUUCUAUUAUUUCAAGAAUUUAACUUUUAAACUUUUUAUUGAGCUAGGACCAUUUUCAUCCCACCAUGACCUUGAGUGACUCAACAAGUCAUAAUGAAACUAAUUAGGUAGAUAACUUAACUUACCAAUUGUAUUUUAUACAACUCCUAGAUCAGUUAGGUGAUAACUCUUUGUCUAAAUGCAUCAUAUACAUUUUGCCUAACUAUGCCUCUAAUACUAUGUGGUCAUGUGUGACACAUCUAAACAACAUGGUACUAGUUGAGUAAGACCCACCAAUAACUCAAACGUACUCGUGAAAAAGUUUGGCUUUGAGUGACUCAAAAAGCCUCCAAUUAAAAGAGCAUCCUGAUUAUCUUGUUAUAUAGUGAAAGGUAACUUUUAGACUUAAUAUUUUAAUGAGAGAUUUUAUUUAUUAAUUCAUUAAUUAAGGUCUCAUUAAUUUGGCAUUGUUGACAUGCAUAGCAUUUAUUGCAUUUCACAUAUAUCUCAUAUAUAUAUAUAUAUAUAUAUAUACUGAAAAAUAAAUCUAUCUCAUGCCAACUUCUAGGAUGAUUAUGGACUUUACUAAUUCUAAUUUUCUCGAGCCAUUAAGGAAAUUAGUUGGUCAAAAUCCUAGGGGAUUUACACAAACAUCGUCUUCAAGCUUUUCUUGUAAUUUCCUUGAAUCUCCAUGGCGCCUUUGGAUCUCCAUCUUCAAGUUACAAAAAUUUUUUCUAACCCUAGUUUUACACUUUGAUGUAACUAAUUACAUUUUAUAAUCAAGAAACCUCGAGUUACAUUCGAGGGGAGUUACGUGAGAAAAGAAUUUUACAACCCAGAGAAAAUAGAGAUAAGGCAGGAUGCGCAUACAUUAUUUUAAAAUAAAUACUAUGAGAAAUAAAUUUAACCAUCUAUGACCUAAUUUUCUAAAGUCUAAGUCCAUAAUCAUCCUCAUGCUUUAUAAUCAUAAUCAAAAGCAUAGAAAUAAAUGCAAAUUCAAUAUCAUUUGGUGAUCUUAUGUGUUAUUUGAGAAAAGCAUCAAUUAAUUCACUUAAAGUGCUAGACUCUUAUUAUUUUGUAUUGUUUUAUUUCAAUUUAGUGUUUAAGAAAUUCCUAUUUUCAAAACACUUAAAAGUAAACAUUUUACUCCUUAUUUCUUAUUAGAAUUCACUGAAAUAAAAUUUUCCUUUUUAAGACUUUUCAUUUUAAUUCUUUUCAUAAUUAAAACUCCUUUUAAUCUUGGAAACAUCUUUUUUUAGGUAAACUUCCUAAAAUAUAUCUAAGAUAACAUUUUAUUUUCUAACAUUUAGAACAUGAAUUAGUUUCUUAAAUUGUAUGUUGUUCAAGUUACUUAAAUGGUGACUUAACAAAUUUGGAAACUUCUAGUCAAACCAAAAUUUUAAGGAAAGUUCAAUGCUAUCACAUAACUUUAGGAAUUUCUUCUGAAGUAUGAAACUAUUUCCUUUGAAUUUCACAAAUUAAAAUACUAUCCUUAAUUUUAAGAAUUUCUUUUAAAGUAGGAAACAAUUUCUUUUUUUUUUAUAAAUCACUCAAAAUUAAAAUAAAUGGCAUUUAAGUGCUUUUAAAACUCCAUAAAUCACGAGUCAAACUGAGGAAAAAGUUGCUGAAAAUUUUCAGCAAGUGUGUUUAACAAUUAAACACAUAAUUCAUAAAGAAUUAAGCCACCAAAACUGAUCAUAGCUGCCAAAAAUUUUCUAUAUUGAAUCUUUGUUAUUUUGGAACUCGAAAAAUUAUUUUUAUGAACCUUUUUCAUACUAAAUCAAGUUUAGCCGAAGCAUGUAGUAAUUUAAUUUAAUAAAACUAAUUUUUAACAAUUAAAAAUUGCUCAUAACAAUUACCCAAUGUUAAUAAAAAAUAAUCAACGCACUAGUUUUCAAAACACCUUAAAACUAUUCGGUUUUAAUUUGGCUUUGCAAGCCUUUUUAUCCAAUCAUUAAUUCUUCAACUAAAUAUGAUUUUAAACCUUUUAAAACAUGUUUUAAUAAAUUAAUUACAUGUUGUCCAGAAUUGAAUUAAAACAGAAAAAUAAAUUUUAAAAAAAGCUUUGAGAACCGAUAUAUACCAAAUCAACACAUAAAUCAAUCGUAUUAAUUAUCAUCAAGAAUCAAGCAUGCAUAUUACAUAAAAAUAUCAAACAAAAGCUCUUAUACCAAUGUUGAGAUUCGACUUCAUAAACAAUUUAAGAUAACAAUCAUGUUAUCAUCCUUACAUGUUUAGACCUUUCUGCUUAGAAAUCCAUAGUUAAAUAUUUCAAUCUCUUACUUUUGCUAUACAUUCUUUUCUUGAAACAUUUUAUUUACUCAUAGAUUAUUACAACAUUAUCUUUAUUUAUUCCUAUUUUUCAAAGAUGUAGGUAUGUUUAAAGCUACAGGCCAAAUAGACAUGGGAUAUCCUCCCCUUCAUUGAGUUUAAACAAGAAAAUUUGAUGAAGGGAAAGGAGAGAGAGAAUGAAACAAGGAAUUUCCUAAGCUAAAUAUGAACUUGUUCAAACGAUUACAUCAUGCACAUCCACCAAAUAUAUUAUAGAAAGACUUGCUCAAAAUACCAUUCUACAACAGCUAAUUUGUUCCCUUUAAAUCUUUCCUUUGAGAGAAGAGAUGAAGUCUUUCAUUCUUCCCCAUUCUGCCUCGACACUUUUCUCCUCCUCCUCAGCAACCUUGGCCUUGGCCGCAUACUCUGGCCAUUCCUUUCCCAUUGCGUCCCGCUGCGCUUUCAAGUCCUGGGAAAUUUUGAAAAUUUCCUUCCGCUCAGCCAAGAUAUUCUCUUUAUUCUUUUGUGCCUCAACAACUUGCUCAUGGAGAGAGGCAAGUUUUUGCUCUGCCUGUUUCACCUCUGCCUUGGCCUCUUUAAAUUUGACUAAACUAUCCUCUAAAUUACGAGAAAGUGCCAGCUUGACAGAUUCCUUCUCAGUAAGGAGAUUCUUGUCCUGCACUGCUUUCACCACUCGCUCAGGUAGUUGUUUAAAGUUCUCCUCCAUGGCCAACAACUCAUUUUUUUGCUCAAUCGUAAAGGUAGAGGAACAAUCAAAACAAGAUAGGACCUUGAAAGCCUUCUUAAGUGAAGAAAUCAUCCCUGAAUCAUAAAAGUUAGCUGGGGCCAUGUUCAGGGCUUCAUCUAUGUUGACCAGAGCUUCCUUUGCUUCUUCUUGAGAAGAAACCAUGUUCCCGCUUGCGAGCUCAGACUCUAAGCUAGUAAAGAAUGUGUCCAUAUCUUCCUCAGUAGGGUCUUCAG